CCUACGGGUGACAGCAGUGAGGAAUAUUGGUCAAUGGGCGCGAGCCUGAACCAGCCAAGUCGCGUGAGGGAAGACGGUCCUAUGGUUUGUAAACCUCUUUUGUCGGGGAGCAAAAGACGCCACGCGUGGCGUUCCGAGAGUACCCGACGAACAAGCAUCGGCUAACUCCGUGCCAGCAGCCGCGGUAAUACGGAGGAUGAGAGCGUUAUCCGGAUUUAUUGGGUUUAAAGGGUGCGCAGGCGGAAGCUCAAGUCAGCGGUAAAAUUGAGAGGCUCAACCUCUACGAGCCGUUGAAACUGGUGUUCUUGAGUGAGCGAGAAGUAGGCGGAAUGCGUGGUGUAGCGGUGAAAUGCAUAGAUAUCACGCAGAACUCCGAUUGCGAAGGCAGCAUACCGGCGCUCAACUGACGCUCAUGCACGAAAGUGUGGGUAUCGAACAGGAUUAGAUACCCGAGUAGUC
rnacentral:rRNA from 1 species